rnacentral:rRNA from 1 species
GAUGAACGCUGGCGGCGUGCCUAACACAUGCAAGUCGAACGGAGAUUUGACGCUGAUGAGGCUUCGGCGGAUUCUUGUUAAAUCUUAGUGGCGGACGGGUGAGUAACGCGUGGGCAACCUGCCUCAUACUGGGGGAUAACAGUUGGAAACGACUGUUAAUACCGCAUAAGCGCACAGCAUCGCAUGAUGCAGUGUGAAAAACUCCGGUGGUAUGAGAUGGGCCCGCGUCAGAUUAGCUAGUUGGCGGGGUAACGGCCCACCAAGGCGACGAUCUGUAGCCGGACUGAGAGGUCGGACGGCCACAUUGGGACUGAGACACGGCCCAAACUCCUACGGGAGGCAGCAGUGGGGGAUAUUGCACAAUGGAGGAAACUCUGAUGCAGCGACGCCGCGUGAGUGAAGAAGUAUUUCGGUAUGUAAAGCUCUAUCAGCAGGGAAGAAAGGCUCGUAAGAGAGAUGACGUAC